ensembl:rRNA 5S_rRNA 5S ribosomal RNA
GUCUACGGCCAUGCCACCCUGGACAAGCCCGAGGUCUGGUCUCGGAAGCUAAGCAGGGUUGGACCUGGUUAGUACUUGGAUGGGAGACCACCUAGGAAGUCCAGACCCUGUAGGCA